rnacentral:lncRNA from 1 species
ACAUGAUGGAAGCGCGCCUCUGAGCCUUUGAUGUUGUCCACAUCAUUUAAUGAAAUGGAUCGUGCGCUCCCUGAUUUUCCAUAUUUUUCUAAUUUCUGUUUUAUUUUCUUUUAUUCCAUUUAUUUUCAAAAAUUCAUAACUAUUUUAUUUGGAAUCACAAAAAUAUGAGACCAAUUACAAAAAAAAUCUUUUAAAAUCUAGUUUCAAAAUCUGAUUUUUUUUUUUUGUGAUUCCAUUUAAUAUUUUUUGUGAAUUAUUUUGUUUUUAAUAGUUUUUAAUACAUUUUAAAUACUUUUUGAUAUCCA